rnacentral:rRNA from 1 species
GGUGGCGGCAGUAGCGCGGUGGUCCCACCUGACCCCAUGCCGAACUCAGAAGUGAAACGCCGUAGCGCCGAUGGUAGUGUGGGGUCUCCCCAUGCGAGAGUAGGGAACUGCCAGGC